UACGUAGGUGACAAGCGUUGUCCGGAUUUACUGGGUGUAAAGGGUGCGCAGGCGGACUUAUAAGUCAGUGGUGAAAUCUCACGGCUCAACCGUGAAACUGCCUUUGAUACUGUAGGUCUUGAAUUAGGGAGAGAUUCGUGGAAUUCCGAGUGUAGCAGUGAAAUGUGUAGAUAUUCGGAAGAACACCAGUGGCGAAGGCAGCGAAUUGGCCCUAUAUUGACGCUCAGGCACGAAAGCAUGGGGAUCAAACAGG
rnacentral:rRNA from 1 species